AAUUGUUCGCAAUGGGCGCAAGCCUGACGACGCAACGCCGCGUGGAGGAUGAAGGUCUUCGGAUUGUAAACUCCUGUCGAACGGGACGAACACCUUCCGGGUUAAUACUCCGGGAGGCUGACGGUACCGUUAGAGGAAGCCCCGGCUACCUCUGUGCCAGCAGCCGCGGUAAUACAGAGGGGGCAAGCGUUGUUCGGAAUUACUGGGCGUAAAGGGCGCGUAGGCGGCCCGCUAAGUCGAACGUGAAAUCCCCAGGCUCAACCUGGGAACUGCGUCCGAUACUGGCAGGCUUGAAUCCGGGAGAGGGAUGUGGAAUUCCAGGUGUAGCGGUGAAAUGCGUAGAUAUCUGGAGGAACACCGGUGGCGAAGGCGGCAUCCUGGACCGGUAUUGACGCUGAGGCGCGAAAGCUAGGGGAGCAAAC
rnacentral:rRNA from 1 species